UACAGAGGUCUCGAGCGUUAGGCGGAAUCACUGGGCUUAAAGCGUGUGUAGGCGGACUUCUAAGUACCUUGUGAAAUCCCACGGCUCACCCGUGGAACUGCUUGGUAUACUGGUCGUCUUGAGCCUUCUAGGGGCGAGUGGAACAAAUGGUGGAGCGGUGAAAUGCGUAGAUAUCAUUUGGAACGCCAAUGGUGAAAACAACUCGCUGGGGAAGUGCUGACGCUGAGACACGAAAGCCAGGGGAGCAAACAGG
rnacentral:rRNA from 1 species